GAACUUUGUUUGGUAUUCUGUUGAUUAGAAGUUAUGGUGAGAUCAUUGUGGAAAACUUGGGAUAUGACAGCAGAAUUCGAAGAGCGAGUAGGGUAUGAGACAGAAAGUGAUGAGUUUGAUGAUUUGAUGAGGUAAGGAUGAAAGUAUUCAGGUGCAUCACCAUUGUUGAGAACAAAGUUUUGGAAGAAAGAGUUUGUAGGCAGGGGUGUGGAUAGCAGAUUUGGAGAGAAGAAUUUGGAGGGGUCAGGGAGGACAGUGGAAUUACCUUGUGGGAAUAGAAAAGGUUUGUUCUUGUUGAUAGUAGAAGACAUGGUGUAUGCUUAUGAUGGUAAUGGCCUUGAUGGUUAUUGUAGUAGUGAUGGAUCAUGAGUUUUAUAGUGUUUGAUGAUUAUGUGUGUUGAGUGAAUUUCUUUCUUACCUUGUUUCUUAAUAUUAUUAUUAUUAUCAACAUUGGCAACUACUCUAUCUACAACUUGCUUCAUAUAUUAUUAAAUUGGUAUGAGUUGUAAGAUAAUGGGAAAUGGUUUCUUUAUAUAGCCAGUCCAAUAUUAACUGCAAAAAGAUCUUAGUCAUUUAAUUUUGAUUAAUUGUUCAUAAUAUUUUUGAUUUAUUUGUCAAGUUUUGAAUCUGAAUCGUCCGAUUUCGAUCAAAUGGUCUUCAAUCUGCAAGAUUGUAGGAUUUUAUUGUUGUAGGAAAUUUUAGUCUAAGAUAGUGGGAUUUGAGUAAUUUAGGUGAUAUAUGUAGGAUUGUAUAUGGUAGUCUAGUUGACUAUAUAAUAUUGGAAUUGUCAAUUAAAUUAUAGCAGAAGUUGAUUGGUUUUUUUGGACAAAGUGUGUGUAAAGAGUGAAAAUAAAGAGGAUUGAAAGGUUGAUUAAAGUUUAAGGUAAGGUACAUGAAUGUGACCAAUUCUUUAAGGAAGACAAAAUACAUGAUAGAGACAUUAAUUCUUUAUGGGAAAUGCUAAAUAGUGUCCUUGGGGUAAUGGUUAAGAUGAUAAAAAUAGAAACUUUGCAUUGGGAAAUAUUGAAAAGUGAAAAAUUUAACUUUUUAAAAAUCAAAACAUUGUUGAAUUCAAUGUAUAUAUACUACUUUUGAUUUCCUUAACCAUUGUCCUGAGGGCACCGGUUAGCAAAACCCAUUCUUUAUAUAUGAAUCUAAAUGAAAGUGAUUAUUUAUUUUUUUUUAUGUUAAAAUGAAAGUGAAUGUAACAAACAAGGAAAUCUCAUUAUUUUGUUGAAAAUGAACCUUAACAGAAUUUACUACUCAGUAACUUUUCUUGUAUUACAUGUAGAAAUUAAUUAUUGUAUAUACUUGGAGAGUAUUAUGCUGAUUUAAGACAAUAGAAAACGUGACACAUGACAAAACAUAAUUGUAGACAUUGUUGAAUUGAAAAUAGAUACUAUAAUUAUGGAUAUAAUUAGCACAACAUCAUGCCAACUGCAUAAAGUAUUGGAUAAGUUUCAGUUAAGCUGUCCAUGCUUGUGACAGCAAUUUAAGAGAUUGUUAGGACCAAAUGCAUGCUAAUAAACACCAGUGCAAAAUAAGGAUUAAAAGAAACUACUUUUAAUCAUUUUUUUAACAAGAAAUCAUAUUAUUUCAUUCAUCAAAAUGGUAGAAAUAUAAGAUGGAAUCAAAUGAAAGACCUCUCACGAGCAUAUAAUUUUGACGCCUUUGCUAGACUAUGGGCGACACAAUUUGCUUGUCUCAUAACAAAAAUUUUCUUAAAAUUUGGAUAUUGUUGUAGCAUAAUCCUAUAUAUAGUUAUAAUGUUGCCAAAUUCCGACUCGUUUUUAGAACUAUCAACAAUGUUGCCAACCACUAGCUUACAAUCUAGCUCAAUAUGCACUUUUGAUAGGCCUAAAUUACCAAGCCAUAAAAUAGCAUCUCAUAAGCCCAACACCUCUGCUUUCGGUGGAGAUGGAACACCCUCAUACCACUUGGAUUACGCUUUUAUGAAAUGACCACGAGAGUUCCAAAUGCACAUACCGAUACCAAAACACAGUUGUUCACCAAAAAGGGCUGCAUCGAUGUUGCAUUUGACGUAAUCUUCCUCUUGGGUUGCCAUCGUUGUACAGCUUCUCUCACGGUCUUCCCUUGCUGUAAUUUUCUAUUGCAAACAGCCUUCCAUUGGUUCAGCAUGCCGCGAGCUAAAUGCACAACCAGCCGCACUUCUUUCAUAUCACCUUCCUACACUUUAUUAUUCCUUCUACGCCAUAAACACCAUAACAUCAUCGCGAUAUCUUGACAUGUUUGAUCGGAACCCUGCACAAUAACCGAAAAAUGCAUUCUGCAAAGUUAGAAACAGCAGCAGCAGCGUCUCAUACUAAUUCCCGCAGGCCAGCAACUUGCCACACUAGUUUGGCAGCCUCGCAACCUAUAACCCAGUGUCAAUCAUUUUCGCAACUAUUCUCGCAAUGAGGGCAGCAAUCUGUACACGGUACUCCUCUAUCUUGGAGUCGCAUACGCGUUGGUAAAACUCCCCUACGAGCCCACCAUAGGAACACUUUGACUCAUCGAAGCAGCUGUAAGUUCCACAUUCUCAUCCAAUCUCCCGACAUCCGCUACUCUUCAUUAUCAUUUAGACUUUCCAUUGCAUAUUAUAGGCCGACUUUACCGUGUAGAAACCUUUUUUUUUAUUAAACUUCCAAAUAAGUUUUGUCUUCCCCCUCCGGAUUAGAUAUGACCACUUUUAGAAUCUCCUCUUUGUCUCUGUCAUUGAAUAGCGCAUUAACAAUCCCACAAUUCCAACUUUGACCUUGCGUAACUAUCAUAUCUGCCACCUUCCAAUGUUCGGCUCCCUGUACUACCGAAGUUGAGAUGCAUGAGUUUCCAUCCGUACGCAGUCAAGGGUCUUUCCAAAUCGAUAUACUCUUCCCGUUACCAACCCUCCACCUUUGAUCUCCUCUAACUAACACCUGUGAACCAAAUAUACUACACCAAAUAAAACUUGGGUUAUGGCCUAGACGAGUCCCCAAAAAAUUAGUCCAUGGAAAAAAUCUAGCUUUGUAAAUCCGAGUUAAGAUAGUAUUUGGGUGAGUUAACAAUUUUCACCCUUGCUUCCCUAGCGUAGACAAAUUAAAGCCAAACAAGUGUCGAAAACCCAUACUCCUUGCGCGUUGUUAAUUUAUCCCAACUAAGCCAAUCAAUGCCUUUGCCUUGCCUCCUAUUCAAUCCCCACCAGAAAGAGUUAAUCAUUAUUUGAAUCUCCUCCCCCAAUGUUGUUGGUAAUAAGAAAGUGCUCAUACAAUAUGUGGGAAUUGCUUGUGUCACAAAUUUGAUCAAAACCUCUCGUCCUGCUUUUGAAAGAUGCUUACCGAACCAUUGUUGAAUUUUCCUCCAUACCCCGUCUCUGAGAUACCCGAAAUUUUCCCUCUUGUUUCACCCAAUCAUGGAUGGCAUGCCCAAAUACUUUAUGGUUCCAAUACUUUUUUAUACCUAUAAGACAUUUUUGACUGCGAUCUAUCCGCCUCUGAGGUGUUUUUGCUGAAGAUUUCUGGCUUUCGGAAAUUAAUGGCUUGUUCUGACAUAGCUUCAUAAGAUUGUAAUAUUUCUUUCAACUUUAUACUUUCUUGCAUAUUUGCCUUGCAAAAAAUGAAACAAUCGUCAGCAAAUAAAAGGUGUGUGAGGAUUAGUGCUCCUCGACACAACUUCACACCAUGAAUAUCCACUCUCGCUUCAGCUUUCUUUAAUUGUGCAGAGAGACCCUCCACACAAAUUAUGAACAGAUAAGGUGACAGUGGGUCACCCUGUCGAAGACCUCUCUUUGGGAUAAUAGGUCUCACUCUCUCCCCAUUAACAAUCACUUGAUAAUUAACACUGUUCAUACACAUACUCAUCCAUUUCACCAAAAUAUCAUGGAGACCCAUUCUCCUCAUAAUUUCCUUCAGAUAAUCCCAUUAAACUCUAUCAUAUGCGUUACUUAUAUCAAUCUUCCUCACAACCUCUCCCACCCUUCCUUUCUUUUUACAUUUCAUAUGAUGGACAAUCUCAUAGGCUACCAUGACAUUGUCAAUAAUUGACUGAUUUUCAACAAAUGCAGAUUGCUCUAUAUGCAUUUAGGUAGUAAAGAUUUGAUCCUAUUUGAAGAAGUGCCUUGGAAAUGCCUUGUAGAUGACAUUGCAUAGUGAAAUGGGCACAAGAUCACGCAUAGUCUCCAUUAAUCAACCAAGUGGUAGCUACAUGAUACAACUCCACACAUACAAAUGCCAAAAUCUCUAAUAAAAAGUCGGGUUCAGCCCAUCCGGUCCUGGUGCUUUAUCGGAAUUCAUAUAGAAAAAUUCCUUUUUGAAUUUUGCAAUUUGGAAUGGGUAUAUAAGCAUACCAUUAUCUUCAUCUGUCAUUACCGGAUUGAUGUAUUCCAACUCCGUAUCAGCCAUCAUUCCGCCUUGUCAAAUAAUUCAACAAAAUAAUUAUUAGCUACUCCGCACCACUCUUGCUGCGACAUAACCAUUUCCCCAUCAUCCCUACUCAAAUUUGUGAUAUUGUUUUGCCUCUUAUUGGUGGUAGCCAUAGCAUGAAAAAACCGCAAGUUUGUGUCACCAUCUUUUAGCCAAUACACCUUUGUCCUAUGUUUCCAUAAUGCUUUUUCUUGCGCCAAUAAAGUUUCCAUUCGAUUACUAACCUCCGCAUAUCACACACUUUGGAAAUCAUGCAUGCUGCCCCUCAUUCUUUCCAAUUCCUCUCGGCACUCCUCAACGGCUACUCUGUAUUUGUUCUGAAGCUUACGACCCCAAUCAUUCAUAUCCUCUGUGCACCUCUUCAAUCGAAUUGCUUGGUCUAUAGUUGUUGAUCUCCGUCAAUCUCCAUAUGUUUCCCCUUUCUUAUUUAUUAGCAACUACUUCACUAUUAUCUUUUCUAUUGAAUAAAUAUGUGUAAUAAUCUCGUUGCAUCUUUUUUCUAUAAUAAUCUCAUUUAUUUUGAAUAAAACCAAUACUUUGUGCUCAUAAAAAAUUCUUUACUACUUUCUCUUUUAUAUAUUGAACAAAAACACAUUUUACCAUGUUUAAGAAAAAGACAGACAAUCAGAAGAGACUGUCAACAAAUAACUCACUUGCAUAUUAUUGAUUAUAUUCUCUAUUGUUCAAUUCACCUUCAUAGCCUAACACAAAUAUCAAAUAUAUUUAUGUAAAUGUCUCAACAAUUUCAUCACAUCAAAAUAAAAUUAUUUAAUAAGUUGUCAAUAUAUAAUUGAUUGAAUAAAAAGCACCUUUUCCAAACUGUGUUAAAUAAUAUUUUAGAUGCAAAAGAAAUGUAAGUUGAAAUGAUAAUUUUCCUUAAAUCUAUACCAAAACAUACAUAUGUGUCCCUUAUAAAAUCUUUUUACGUGUUACAUUUUAAAAUACAUAUAACUAAUUUGUAUUUCCAUAAAAAAAUAAAAAAAAUCAACAACUGUGCAACGCGCGGGCCUCAAUCUAGUAAAGAAUUAAUUCAAGUAAGAACGAGGGAAGAAAAGGGAGGGAUAAUUUCACUAACUACUGGGAAGAGAGAAAGUAAAAUGUUAAAGCCUGAAUUUGAGAAAAAAUAUUGAGAAUACCGAGGGACUGAAAUCGCCAUAAUGUGCGUUUUGAAUUGUUAGAUACAAUUUUGUCUAAGGCCGGGUAAAACCGGCGUCUUCAAAAACUACCGUAAUGUACUGUUUAAAGUGGCGGUUUUUGGAACUGCCGUAAUAAAACCGCCCUAAUUUACCAAUUUUUUAUGUAGUGUCUUCUUGUCGCCGUUGUCGUUACUCGGUAAGUUUUCAAUACUUUCUUAAUCUUUCUCCUUUUUCCCGUUGAGCAUGUUUCAAUAUGUAGAUUUGUACGUUUGUAUAGUUUGUCGUUGUUAAAUGUCUUCCUGGUUUUGUGUUAAUGUUAUUUGUCCAAACAUUUUUGUUGUUUACAUGUUCACGGAUUGUAACAACCAAAAGUUGUUAAUGUUGUUCCCUGAAAUAAAUGUCAACAUCAUUCGUUCUUUUAUUUAUGUUAUUGAUGUUGCAUGAUGAUGUUUGAGAUAGCAGUCAUUUCGUUAUUUUUAUUGUAAAUUCAUGAUCUUUUGAGUUCACAAGCAAGCUUAAACAGCAAGGAAAACAUGAAAAGUUGAAGAUUUUGAAGAGAGUAAUUUUCUGAAGAAUAUUGGAGUUCAGAGUUAUUUUGAGCAUGAUAAAGUGCGAAAAACAGGAAAAAUUGAAGAUGCUGAAAAAACGCCAAAAAUGUGUCACGAUUUGCCAAAACGUGACACGAUUUUACCAGACCAGAAAAACAUGCUCUCGACGUUGGGGCAAAACGUGUCACGAUUGCAAAAACGUGACACGAUUUCUUCAGCUGUUUGUAAAAACGUGUCACGAUUUACUUAAAACGUGACACGAUUUUGGGCGAAUUUCUGAGCCUAUUUAAGCUGACGUCUAUUCUGAAGACAAGGGUUACGAUUUGGAGAGAGCAAAGUGAGAUUUUGAGACCUAAAGACGGCUAGGAAGGCGAUUUCUUCAACCUUCUAUCAGUUCAUGUAUGUUUUAAUUCUAUUAUUGAUUAUGCUAUUUGUAAACUCAAUUAUGAGUAGCUAAAUCUCUUAGAGAUUAGGUUUGAUAUGAUUCUUUGUAACCCUAAUUGAACCAUGUUGUUGUGACCUCUAUUUAUUGUGAAUGACAAUCUAGUUUUUACUCAAUUCAAUUGUUCUUAAUACUUUUUAUAUAUUGACACCAUAUAUAUAAACAUGAUUUCAUGAGAAUGAAUGACUACUGACCAUAGCUUUCGACUUAGACCUAAUUGAAUUGUUCUAAUAAACAUGGUUAGUCUACGAAUGAAUAAUCGUUUAUUAGUGAUAUUAGGUUAACGUACUUAAAACCUUCAAAGAUUAUUAGACCACCUAAGGAAUUAGGGGAUGUAGUUUGAGAAGAGAGUCCUAACUCAAGGGAUUGAUUAAGACUAUUUUGUUAACUAUCGUGGAACUAGAGAAUCAUUCAUAAGAAUAGGUGCAGUAUAUCAAUUAGGGGAAUAUAGAUGAUUCGAAAGACCUGAUCUCAUCUCUCUCUCUCUCUCUCUCUCUCUCUCUCUCUCUCUCUCUCUCUCUCUCUCUCUCUCUCUCUCUCUCUCUCUCUCUCUCUCUCUCUCUCUCUCUCUCUCUCUCUCUCUCUCUCUCUCUCUCUCUCUCUCUCUCUCUCUCUCUCUCUCUCUCUCUCUCUCUCUCUCUCUCUCUCUCUCUCUCUCUCUCUCUCUCUCUCUCUCUCUCUCUCUCUCUCUCUCUCUCUCUCUCUCUCUCUCUCUCUCUCUCUCUCUCUCUCUCUCUCUCUCUCUCUCUCUCUCUCUCUCUCUCUCUCUCUCUCUCUCUCUCUCUCUCUCUCUCUCUCUCUCUCUCUCUCUCUCUCUCUCUCUCUCUCUCUCUCUCUCUCUCUCUCUCUCUCUCUCUCUCUCUCUCUCUCUCUCUCUCUCUCUCUCUCUCUCUCUCUCUCUCUCUCUCUCUCUCUCUCUCUCUCUCUCUCUCUCUCUCUCUCUCUCUCUCUCUCUCUCUCUCUCUCUCUCUCUCUCUCUCUCUCUCUCUCUCUCUCUCUCUCUCUCUCUCUCUCUCUCUCUCUCUCUCUCUCUCUCUCUCUCUCUCUCUCUCUCUCUCUCUCUCUCUCUCUCUCUCUCUCUCUCUCUCUCUCUCUCUCUCUCUCUCUCUCUCUCUCUCUCUCUCUCUCUCUCUCUCUCUCUCUCUCUCUCUCUCUCUCUCUCUCUCUCUCUCUCUCUCUCUCUCUCUCUCUCUCUCUCUCUCUCUCUCUCUCUCUCUCUCUCUCUCUCUCUCUCUCUCUCUCUCCCCCCCCCUAUCUUUUCCAAAACUAUCUUUAUUUUCUGUUUAUUUAAUUUUAAAAUAAUUUACACAUCCUAGAUAUUACCUUAUUAUAAAAUUGAGAUUAACACAGUCCUUGUAGAUACGAACUUAUAAAUUUUAUUACUUCGAUAGUUUUAGUACACUUGCUAAAAGUCUAUCAAUGUUCAAUAUGUUAACAUGUACAUGAGAAGUUGUAGAUAUAAUAGUAGUCAAUGAUGAUAAAUUGAUAAUAAUACUAAAAUAUCAAGGUAAGAAAGAACUACACUCAACACAUAAUCUUCAAAGUUGACCUGUUUAUAUUAAUGAGAUUUUUAAAAAGCUUAAGCCUAUCUUAUUUUAAUAAACGAGUUAGGCCGAGUCAUGUUUUAAGUAGACUUAGCCAUAGGGCCCUAACGAGCUAUCUGACCUAUUUCCACCCUCCCACUUAAGGAAGAUUACCCAUGCGCUACCGCACAGAAACACCGCCUUGAGAUGAUUUUGGUCGUUUGCUCGAUAUCCAACCGUGUUGCGCAACCCAUGCAUGUUUACGUUGCACAUCUACCACGCCCAGAUUUGCACGUUUUUAUAUAUUUUUUUAUAUUAAAUGUGUUCCAAAUUUUGUGUUAGUGUUACUUGUUCAAAUACUUUUGUUGAUUACAUGUUCAUGGAUUGUAACAACCAAAAGUUGUUAACGUUGUUCCCAAAAAUAAAUGUCAACAUCAUUCCUUCUUUUGUUUAUGUUCCUGAUGUUGCAUGAUGUUGUUCAAUGUGUUCACAUAAUCAUACAAAACCAUUGACUUAAAUAAAACAUUCAUCUCUACUACAAUAACCAUUCACCAUCAUAAUCAUACACAAUGUCUUCUACUAUACAAAACAACACUUCUUUUAUCUUCCCAGAGACAAAUUCAUCUCGCAUCCCUGAUCCCUCCAAGUUCUUCUCCCCAAAUCUUCUAUCUACACCCCUCCCCACAAACUCUUUCUUCCAAAACUUUUCUCUCAGAGAGGGUGAAACACCUGAAUACAUCCAUCCUUACCUCAUCAGAUCAACAAACUCAUCACUUUCUUUUUCAUACCCAUCUCGCUAUUCCAAUUCUUCAUUCCUAUACCAGGAAGUCAAAGACGACGAUAUUGGUGUCACUGUAUCUACUAUACAGAAGAACUUGAGUCCACUUUAUGAUGGAAGACACGUAAUCACUUCUUAUAGUGAUCUUGGUGUUACCUUAGAUUAUCCUGCUACUAAUCUCAGUUUCUUUCUUGUUAGAGGAAGUCCAUAUUUGACUUUCUCUGUAACAAAACCAAGUCACCUUCUCAUUUCCACCAGUUAUGACAUUCGUUCAGUUACUUCAAAUUGGUCCCGUACAAAGUUCACCAUUCAGCAUAGCAAUAAUCAAACAUGGGUUUUAUACACUUCCUCACCAAUCAAGUUGAGUCAUGAAACUUUUAAGAUUACUUCUAAGGCCUUUUCUGGUAUAAUUCGGAUCGCUUUGUUGCCAAAUUCCGAUCCGAAAUACAAGGCUAUUCUUGAUAGGUUUAGUUCUUGUUACCCUUUAUCAGGUGAUGCUAAACUUAGUGAAACGUUUUGUCUUGAGUAUAAGUUUGAGAAGAAAGGUUCAGGUGAUUUGUUAUUGUUAGCACACCCUCUUCAUAUUCAACUUUUAUCUAAAAGUAAAAGUGAUGUAACUGUUUUGGAUGAUUUCAAGUAUCAAAGCAUUGAUGGAGACCUUGUUGGUGUUGUUGGUGAUUCAUGGAUUUUGAAAACCGAUCCGAUUUCUGUAACUUGGCAUUCAAGCAAAGGUAUAAAAGAAGAAUCACAUGAUGAAAUUGUUUCGUCGCUUUUAAAAGAUGUUGAAGGUUUAAAUUCAUCAGCAAUAACAUCAAUUACUUCAUCUUACUUCUAUGGACAAUUGAUUGCAAGAGCAGCAAGGUUAGCAUUGAUAGCUGAAGAAUUUUUUUUCGUUGACGCUAUUCAAAAAGUCAGAAGCUUUUUGAAGGAAACAAUUGAACCAUGGCUUGAUGGAACUUUUAACGGAAAUGGAUUUCUGUAUGACAAAAAAUGGGGAGGAAUUAUUACACAGGAGGAAGGUGCUUUCGUUUUUAGUAGUGAUUUGGGAGACGGAGCGUAUAAUGAUCAUCAUUAUCAAUUAGGAUAUUUUCUUUAUGGAAUUGCAGUGCUUGUUAAGAUUGAUCCAGCAUGGGGUAGGAAGUAUAAGAAACAAUCCUAUUCACUUAUGGAAGACUUUAUGAACUUAAGUUUAAAAUCGAACUCAAAUUAUACGCGUUUAAGGUUUUUCGAUCUUUACAUGUUACAUUCGUGGGCCGUAGGGCUAACCAACUCUGAACAUGGAAGGUAUCAAGAGAGUACUAGUGAAGCUGUGAAUGCAUACUAUGCUGCAGCCUUAAUGGGAAUGGCAUAUGGUGAUCCUCAACUUGUGUCAAUUGCAUCAACACUAACAUCAUUGGAAAUUCUUGGAACCAAAAUGUGGUGGCAUGUUAAAAAGAAUGGGAAAUUGUAUGAUGAAGAGUUUACAAAAGAGAAUAGGAUAGUGGGAAUUUUGAGGUCUAAUAAGAGAGAGAGUAGUGUUUGGACUGCACCAUGUCCGUUUCGUGAGUGUGAAAGUAUGCUUGGUGUUCAUGUUUUACCAUUGUGUCCAAUUUCUGAAGUUUUAUUUUCUGAUGUUGAUUAUGUGAAAGAACUUGUUGAGUGGGCAUUGCCUCCUUUCAAAACGUUAGGUGCUGAAAACAGAUGGACGGGAUUUCGGUAUGCAUUGGAAGGAAUUUAUGAUAAUGAAAGUGCAUUGAAGAAGAUAAGAAGCUUGAAUGGUUUUGAUGGUGGAAACUCUUUGACUAAUCUUUUGUGGUGGAUUCAUAGUAGAGGUGAAGGUGGUGACGAUGAAUAAGAAAUAUUUGGUUACCUACCAUUUUAGUUUUUACUGCUAAAAUGAGAGUAAAUUUGUUAUCAUAAUUUCAUUUCAUGUAUUGUAUCAUGAUUGCUUUCAUUUCAUGUAUUGUAUCAUAAUUUCAUUUCAUAGAUUCCUUGUAUGAAUUAAAAAUAGUUGUGUGCUGUGACUUUUGUAUUCAAUUCACAUUGCCAGAUUGUCUUGCUUUAUUCCCAUUUUGUAUACCUUGCAAAAUAAUAUAGUAUUUGUAUUUAAUGCAAUCUGUAAAACUAUGCCUAGAGUCAAACUAAUAUAUAAAAAGAUGACCAUAAUAUAGUAUUUGUUUGUAUAUUUUAUCAGGUUUGUGAAAGGGGAUUCAUACUUUAUAAUAGUGCUAGUGUUAGAUAAUAAUUUAUUUGGCUUAUGCUAUUGUGCAAUUUAUGUUAUUAAUUGGCUUAAUGAUGUGUUUCGUCCUUGCAAUUAGGCGUCAUUUAAAAAUUAGUCUUUGUAAUCGCUAAUCCUGGCAAUUUACCUUGCAUUGUUUAAUCAUUUAAAAUUUCGUCCUUUGACCAACUUAAUCACUACCAAGUCAUCAAAUUAGCAAAAUGGCAUGGGAAUGAACAAAAAUAGCCUCGUCUUUAUUAUGAGAUGAAGAUGAAGACAGGGGUAAAAAUGUCAAUUUCUUGCUAAAGAACGCGAUGGGUGGCUAUCCUGCAUUAGUACGCCGCCCACUCCCACAUUGGAUACGUCUGCUUCCACCAAGAAUUGUAUGGUGAAAUCAUGGAGAUGUUGCAUUGGCGUCUAAAUAAUUUAGAAGGCUAUCUAUUCGAUUGAUACACAUCAUGGCAACAUGAAAAAACCAAAAUAUUUGAAAACAAAAAUAAAAUGGAAUGCAAAAAAGGAUGGGACAAAUAAGAAAGAAAAGGGAAGAGAAUCAACAAAUGCUAAGUUUUAGUGACAAUUUUCUGAAAAUAGGGGUAGUCUUUAAAAUAUUAUUCUAUGAAAAGAAAAUUAACGAUGAUGAGAUAUUCUCUUAAAAAAUAUUCAACUAUUUUAGCAGUAAAUGGAGUAAUUACUACACUAUCAUACAUAUAUUUCACAUGUAGUAUCUUCUUUUUUCUUUAGAGGUUCACAUAUAUAUCUUCUUAUUAAAGAAAAAAUAUCGUGUAUCAAUAAAAAAAAUUAAUGAUCCAGUUGAAGCAAAGCUACUUUAAACCCUUGUAAAUAAAAAAUUGGAAAUUCAAAAUAUAGUUCAUCUUUCGUUCUCAAUGAUUGUAAAAGAAAAUGCACAGUUGAACAAAGUUAGCACAAUAUAUUACUUGCACAAUUUGAUUUGACUAAUUUUGUUGAGAUAGUUGGAAAAAAAAAGGUAAAGACAAUAAUUAACAUAACAAAGAAACGCCCCUCCAACAAAAGCUUCAAUUAAUAUGUGAAAUGACCAUCAAAACUAUUUCAAACACCCUUAAAAAAAAAACUAUUAGAUAAAUGUCAAAGCUUACAAAAUGUUUAGAUAAAAAAAAAAAAAAACAGCAACAUGAAGAGAAGACAAUACCUUAUUGAAGGAUGUCUCCAUAAAGGCUAAGUUUAUUUUGAUUAUUGUUUUUUGUAAGAAGCCAAAAAUAAAUUAUAAAUUAACAAAUCAUAUAAGCAUAAUGUGUGUCUAAAAUUGAUUAAAGCAUAAGUACAUAAUAUAAAUCGAAACAAAAAAGAACAACAAAAUCAUGGUGUUAUAUCAAGUUCAAUAUAUGAAUUGAAACAAAAAAGAACAAUAGAAUCAUUCAUAGCGUAGCAUAACCAAAAAUUUAACUCAAUAGGCUAGUACAAUCUUCUUAGCUUUUCGAUCAAUUAUAAAAUAGUCUCCUUCUUUUUUUUUUUUUAAGGGAAAAAAAAAAAUUAAACAAUUAUAAUCCAAGGUGUACUUAAAAUAAAAUAGUAACAAACGAAUGUCAUAUGAAAGUAAAGUACUUGAUAGCCAAACCGACUAAACAAAAGAACUUAAACGCUACGUGGACAUUUCAAGAUAUAUUAAGGAAGGAGCAUUCAUAUUUAUUUAGAGAGAUUUUAUCAAGAUUUUUUUUUUAAACAAGCUAAAUUAACCCACUUAAAUUGGCGCCGGAGAUAAUCGAACCUAAGACCUUGUGAAGAAGCACACUUUCAAGUCCCAAGUCAAUAUCAUUAGUGAUUUUAUCAAAAAUUGAUCAAGAAAAUGUCUCAGUCAAUUAAAUUUGUUAUUUGCCGAAAAUCAAAGGAUGUAAUGAUGUGUAAUUAAGAAAAUGAGUUAGCAAAUCAAUGAGUAAGUUGCAUGCAAACUUAGGUGAGUUCUUCCCUCUUAACCAUAUUUUGGGAGAAAAUUAUAUAGUGUGUCUAUAUAUACAAUAGAUGAAGUUCAACUCAUUUAAUUAUUAAGUCAAAUUCAACUCAUUCAUUUUAUAAAUCAAAUUCAACAAGAUAAUUAUCAAGUUUCAAAUUUGAUUCGAUUUUCAAAAUAUUUCUUACCCAUCAAAUUUGAUUCCACUGUCCACCCUGACCCCUCCAAAUUCUUCUCUCCAAAUUUACUAUCCAAACCCCUCCCUACAAACUCUUUCUUCCAAAACUUUGUUCUCAAAAACGGUGACCAACCUGAAUAUAUUCAUCCAUACCUCAUUAAAUCAUCAAACUCAUCACUUUCUGUUUCUUACCCAUCACGUUUCUUAAACUCUUCUGUUAUAUCCCAAGUUUUCAAUGCUGAUCUUACCAUAACUUCUUCUACAAAAACUUCCAACGAAAAACACAUAAUCUCUUCUUACAAUGACCUCAGUGUUACCUUGGAAAUCCCUUCUUCAAAUUUACGUUUUUUUCUUGUUAGGGGAAGUCCUUUUUUGACAUUUUCUGUCACACAACUAACCCAUCUUUCUUUCACUACAAGCCAUGAUAUUCUUUCUUUUUAUUCGAACGAUUCCCUUACAAAGUUUACAUUUUACCUUAACAAUGGUCAAAGUUGGAUUUUGUAUGCUUCUACACCGAUAAACUUGAGUCACGGUCAUAGGUAUAUAGCUACUUCUGAGGAGUUUUCUGGCAUUAUUAGAAUAGCUUUGUUUCCGGAUUCUGAUUCAAAAACUGAAGCUGCUCUUGAUAGGUUCAGUUGUUGUUACCCUGUGAGUGGUAAUGCUGUUUUUACAACACAAUUCUGUGUUGAGUAUAAAUGGCAGAAGAAGGGUUCAGGUGAUUUGCUACUGUUAGCACACCCUUUACAUAUUCAACUUUUGUGUGACACUAUUGAUUGUGAUGUUACUAUUUUGAGUGAUUUUAAGUAUAAAAGCAUUGAUGGAGACCUUGUUGGUGUCAUUGGUGAUUCAUGGUUUUUGAAAACUGAUCCUGUUUCUGUAACUUGGCAUUCUUCAAAUGGUGUUAAGAAAGAAUACCAUAAAGAAAUUGUUUCAGCACUUUUGAAAGAUGUUGAGGAUCUAAAUUCAUCAGAUAUAUCAACAACAUCGUCUUAUUCUUAUGGAAAGUUGAUUGCUAGAGCUGCAAGGUUAGCAAUAAUAGCUGAAGAGGUUUUCGUCUUUGAUUUGAUUCCAAAGGUUAAGAUUAAGAUGUUCUUGAAGGAAACUAUUGAGCCUUGGCUUGAUGGAACUUUUAGUGAAAAUGGUUUUCUAUAUGAUAAAAGUUGGGGUGGAAUUGUUACCAGAAAAGAAUGUGAUGAAUCUAACGAUUGUUUAGGUUCGGAAAUUUAUAAUGCUCAGCUUAAUCAUUUAGGAUAUUUCCUUUAUGGUAUUGCUGUUCUUGCUAAACUUGAUCCCGAUUGGGGAAGAAAGUAUAAGCCUCAAGCUUAUGCACUCAUGGAAGAUUUCAUGAACUCCAGCACUUGUUUGAAUCCGAAUUACACGCGCCUAAGAUGUUUUGAUCUUUACAAGCUCCAUUCUUGGGCUGGAGGAUUAGCUGAGUAUGAAAAUGGAAGAUAUCAAAAGGGUAGUAGUGAAGCUAUUAAUGCAUAUUAUUCUGCUACCUUGCUUGGCUUAGCAUAUGGUGAUGCCAAUGUUGUUGCUAUUUGGUCAACCCUAACUGCUUUCGAAAUUCAAGCAUCUAAAAUGUGGUAUCAUGUGAAAGUGGGAGGGAAGCUAUACGAGGAAGAAUUUACAAAACAGAACAGGAUGGUCGGUCUUGUUUGGUCGAAUAAGAGAGAUAUCGAACUUUGGUUUGGUUAUCUUGGUGCUAAACAAUGUUUGCUUGGCAUUCAGGUUUUACCAUUGCUUCCUAUUUCAGAAAUGUUGUUUUCUGAUGUUGAAUUUGUGAAGGAUGUUGUGGAAUGGGUGUUGCCUGAUUUGGAAAGUGAUGGUGUUGGUGAAGGAUGGAAGGGAUUUGUGUAUGCUUUAAAGGGAAUUUAUGAUAAGGGUGAUGCUUUGGAGAAGAUUAGAAAGUUAAGUGGUUUUGAUGAUGGGAAUUCAUUGAGUAAUCUGUUGUGGUGGAUUCACAGCAGAGAUUGAAGUGUGAAUGGUUAUGAUAUUUUGGAAGAAACUUGUAAGAAAGAAAAGGAUAUAAUAUAUUGAUGAUAAAUUAAGUGGCUUUUAUAUUGCUUAAUUCAUAUUCCAACAAGUUUCAUUUUUAUAAUUGUAGUAUUUAGAUUUUUUUUUCUAGUUUAUCUUAGUACUACUUUCUACUUCUGCUAUAUUUCUCAGUCAAUUUGUAUAACUGAAUGUUCUUGAAUUAGGCACAUUGAUUAUUCACCACCUUGCUAAUCUGCUUUACUCACAAGAAAAACUAGUGGUACAUAAAAGGAAGAUCAAAUUAAGGCUUUGGAUUGAAUGUUUAAAGCAAAAAACAAAUCAUGCCUAAAAAUCACUAAACUAAACACCUAUGACCUCUUACGGCAGCAAUUCGGCUACGCUGCUGCAACUCAAAACGAUUCCGAUUACGACUUAAAUCUUCGUAGCCUGUGAAACCAUGCACAAGACAGAAUAUGACAGUACACAAGCCUUAAUCUGCAGCCCAACAUCAGUUGAGAAAUUGUCUUCAAAAUUAUAUUUACUUGCCUCUGUUGAAUUGAAACUAACAAAGCUAAUCUUCCAGAUAGAAAUAGAUUUCAAAUGCAAUUGCAUAUUAUUUACAUUUGCAACAAAAUUUAGUUCAAUUUACUCACAGUCUCAUACCCUACCAAGCCUGCAACCAAAACCAACCUGAUACUUCCAAACUUUACCAGUUAUUAAUCAAACAAACCAAAUGCUCGAUGUUUAUUUAAUAUUUGCGAACCAAACAGUUGUUGCUCGAUGUUCAAAGAGAUUAGUCCUCCAAAUUGAUCCAAAUGCUCAACCCCUUUGUGAUAUUUUGGAUUUGUGUCAUGACUUCAUCUCAUCAAUCUGAGACUAGUCUCUCCAAGAGAAACUAAUUCAUAACACUUAGAUGAUUAUUUAAUGUUCUAUUUUUGUGUUGAGUAGUUAGUAACAUUUCUUUGUUGGCUUAAAGUAAAGGGAUUUACUAGUAAUUAUAACCCUCUUUCCUAAACUAUUUAAGUUCAUUUUUUGCUUCAUAUAUACAUCAUCCUUUAUUUAUUAUUUUUCAAUAUUUUUUUGUUUAGUUGGGAUCCUUUCCAUUUUCAUAUGGCUGCUAAGCAAUCGAAAAACAAAUUAGCAUGAUGAUAAUUAUUGUAAAACAUUACCAUAUUAAAUGCACUAAUCCUUCAAAACAUUAUUUCAUCAAAAUUCUAAGACAUCAGACACAAGCACUGGACUAGUCGUACCAAUUAAAAAUGACUGCAAAGCUCUUAAAUAAUAAUAAGUCAAGUUAUUAAUUGCAAGGGACAAAAUCAUUGUAACAUUUUUCUCAAUUACUUUCAAAAUAUCAUAAACCAUUCAAUGUCUAAACACUUCAACCUCUACUAUGUAUCCACCACAGAAGAUUAGUCAUUGAAUUUCCAUCUUUAAACCUUCAGCCGAAGAGUAAGACUUAUAUUGAUCGAAACACCUUAAACGUGUAUACUUAUCAAACCCUGAUCUAAACAUAUUACUUUCUUCUCGUAACACAUCUGAGCUACUUUAAUUUCCAAAAAUAUUAAGGGUUGAUCCAUUAGCAACAACAUUCACAUCACCAUAUUAAGAACAAUAUGCACUAGCUCCCUUCUGGUAUCUGCCAUUUUCAAUUCUUGUAACCCUUAACCCUACAGCUCAAGAAUGCAUUUUAUAACAAUCGAAACACCUUAGAUGCAUAUGAUUUGGGUUCGAACAUGUGCUCAAGUUCAUAAAAUCUUCCAUGAGUGAAUAAACUUGAAGCUUAUACUUCUCACCCCAAUAUGGAUCAAUCAUUACAAGAACAGAAAUACCAUAAAGGAAAUAUCCCUAGCGAUGAAGCUGAGAACAAUAAGACUCAACCAAAAUCAGAACUAGAGUCAGCAGAACAUCUUUGUUUGGUAACAAUAUCUCCCCAUUUCUGAUCAUAUAGAAAUCCAUUUUAUUUGAAAGUUCCAUCAAGCCAAGGCUCAAUGAUCUCUUUCAAAUACUUUUUAACUUUUGAAAUCACAUCAAGGAAACAAACCUCUUCAGCUAUUGAAGCCAACCUUGCAAUCAAGACCCUCAACAUCUUCGUGAACAAAGUAUUAUUUUUCUUGAAUCAGAAUUAACAUUGCAAUCAAGACCCUCAAAAUCUAUUGAGGGUCUAAAUUCAUCUGCAAUAACAACGACUUCGUCUCAUUUUUCUUGAAUCAGAAUCUGUGAACAAAACUUAUCCAAAUCUAUGAGGCACUAACACAAACAUCUUACACGACACUGACACGUCGACACCCUUAAUAGCUUUAUUAAAUGAAUUAUUUGAAUGUCAUUUGUGAAAAUUCGCUUUGACCAAUUAAGUAAAAUUGGUAUUCUUAUUUCUUAUUAUAAUCGUUAUUUAUUUAGAAAAAUACAAUAAUAAUUAAUUUUAUAAGAUUUUAAACAUUAAAUCUCUACCAUAAAAAAAAUUAACAUUCAACUCUAUGUCAUUGAAUUUACAAUAUACAGGCUCUAUACAGCUGGCCUAAUCGAUUGGAUCCAGCUACAGUCUUUGGAUUUCAACUAUAUAUAUGCCCUAAAACCACCUUACUUGAAUCAUCAACUCAAGAGUAAUAGUGUUUGGUUUCUUGUUCACUCUUUCACUUCACAAACAACUAUUCUUUUCUUUUACAAUGACUUUUUCCUUUGGAAAUGAGUUUCCAGCCAAUGUUAAAGUUCUUGUGAUUGAUCAUGAUAUUGAUCUUCUCAAUGCUAUUGACAAAACAUUGUCUCAAUUCAAUUACCAAGGUUUGUAAAUUAAUAUAUGGUACCUUAUUUGAUUCUUAAUUGAAUUAUAUAUUAACCUAUGAAAGUCUCAAUCUUUGUUUCAGUUACAACAUGCUCGACGGUUUCUUCAGCCUCGAAUUUGAUAGCACAAAAGGUGCAUUUUGAUUUGGUACUACUUGAAACUCAAAUGCCGGACAUGGAUUCAUUUGAUUUCUUGCAACAAUUGACACAACAAGUCAAUAUUCCUGUCAUUAGUAAGUAAAUAUAUAAUUAAUUAUAUUAUCAUAUCACAUGAUUAAUUUAUAUAUGUUACAUAUAUGUGCAGUGACGAUGUGUUCUGAAGGAUCAACAAAUUAUGGAAUAAUCAAGGCCAUUGAAAAUGGAGCUUGUGACUGUUUUGUCAAGCCAUUCGCUGAAAAUCAAGUAAAGUAUAUGUGGCAUCAUGCUGUUAGGAAAAUGAUGAAAGGAAAUAAAAAGCAUAAAAUCAAUGAGCAAUUGGGGGUUGAAGGUAGCCAAAUAAGGGCAAGAGAUGAUUCAAAUUUACCCUUAAAAGAUGCAACAUCGGAAAAAGGGUAAUAGCCAUUUUGGUCCAUGAAUGUGUAAUAAGUAGUCAUAAUAGUCUCUCAAUGUAUUAAAAUUCUAAAAUAGUCCCUGAUUUUGUACUUUGUUUGUUAGUCAUAAAGUGAGAAUAAGUAAAUAUAUUGAAGGACUAAUAUGACAAUAUUAAUGAAGUAUUUUAAUGUUACGGACUAUUUUGACAAACGAAGUGUAUAAUCAAAGACAAUUUAAAAUUUUGAUACAUUGAUGGACUAUUUUAGUCCCACAUGUAUCAAAUGUCUAGAUCUGCCCCUGACUCAGACACAUACACUGUCCGACACCGGACACGUCUUUGAUCAAAGGUGUCGGACUCAAGUUGAUUUUUAAGGUUUUAGGGUUUAACAAAGAUCGCAGGUGAUAGUGUUUAUAGGGUUAAAGUUUUGUGACUAAAAUAAACAUGUAAAUCACUAAGAAGAAGAAAAAGGGUUGUUAUCACUAUCAGAGUUCAAUUUUGUUAAUUGGUUUGUUGAAAUUUGUGAUAAAAAAAAAGAAUAUGAUUGACAAAUGAUUGAAUGAGAAGGACAAGGACAGGGAAAGGAAUGAACCUGAAGGAAUGGAUCUGAAGGUUUCACCAUUUUCUCAUAAAACGUGUGCUCUAAGGUGAUAAACAUUUCAAGACCCACUUUGAACAUAGAUCACUAGCAUUAUGUCUGAUAUGAACAUAGCUCUCAGGUUCAAUAACAUAGACCAAUAACAUAUAAGGAAACGUAACACAAGAGGCUUGACAUCAUUGAUUCAUUGCUCACUUAGUGAAAUCAUCCACCAUAAUAGAUUAGUCAAUGAGUUUCCAUCAUCAAAACCCUUCAACUUUCUUAUCUUCUGCUGUGCACUUUCAUUAUCAUAAAUCCCUUGCAAGGCAUAAACAAACCCCUUCCAACCCUCUUCAACACCAUCCCUUUUUAAAGCAGGUAAUGUCCACUCCACAAGUCCCUUCACAUACAUAACAUCAGAGAACAAGACUUCAGAAAUUGGAAGCAAUGGUAAGAGCUGAAUCCCAAGCCUACAUUCUUUCCAUUCAGCUGGACCAAACCAUAAACCACUGUCUCUUUUGUUCGACCAAAGUACACCAAUUAUCUUAUUGUUUUUACUAAACACUUUCUCAUACAUAUUCCCUCCUUCUUUUACAUGCCACCACAUUUUAGCAGCAAGAAUUUCAAAUGAUGCAAGUGUCGAUGCAGUCGCUGCGAGUUCUGCAUCGUCGUAUGCCAUUCCCAUCAAGGCUGCGCAUAAUAAGCAUUCCAGCUUCACUGGUACUCUCUUGAUUUCUUCCAUCAGUGAAUUCUGUUAGCCCUCCAGCCCAAGAGUGUAAUUUAUACAGAUCGAAACACCUUAGAUGCGUGUAAUAACUAGGGUUUGAAUUUCUGCUCAGAUUCAUAAAAUCAGCCAUGACAGAAUAGGCUUGAGACUUAUACUUUCUACCCCAAAUAGGAUCAAUCUUAGCAAGCACUGCAAUUCCAUAGAGAAAGUAUCCUAAAUGAUAAUGAUGAUCAUUAUAAACUCCGAACCCAAAAUCAGCACCGGCAUUUGUAGAACCAUGUUUGGUUACAAUAUCUCCCCAUUUUUUAUCAUAAAGAAAUCCAUUUCCAUUAAAAGUUCCAUCAAGCCAAGGCUCAAUGGUUUCCUUCAAAUACUUUCUAACUUUUGGAAUCACAUCAAGGAAACAAACCUCUUCCGCUAUCAAUGCAAGUCUUGCAGCUCUUGCAAUCAAUUUUCCAUAAAAAUAAGAUGAUUUUGUUUUUAUUGUUGAUGAAUUCAGUCCUUCAACAUCCUUACAAAGUGCUGAAACAAUUUCAUCACGCAAUCCAUCUCUCACACCUUUGCUUGAAUGCCAAGUUACAGAAACAAGAUCUGUUUUCAAAAUCCAUCUCUCCAUCAAUGCGUUUAUACUUAAAAUCACUCAAAACAGUAACAUUACAAUCUUUCUUAGACAAAAGCUGCAGAUGGAGAGGAUGACUAGGAAGUUUUGGUGAUUGCCGGUGACCUCCAAUGUUAGACCCUUGGAGCUUGAGAUCAUCUCCAAUGACUAGAAAAUUUUAGUAGCUGGAGAGGAUCCCAACUCGACCCUAACCUUAGUAAUUCAUACAUAAUAUUUGCGUUUACAUUGAACUGCAUUUUAUUUUUAUUUUUUUGAGUUGUGUUCAAAUUACAUUUUUAUGUUACUCAACUUUUUUUGGAGUAAAAAUGAAGCUUUGUUUGUUCAUUGUCUGUCACUAACUACACUUCAGAAUUCUUGAACCUGGACUUGAUCAUUUUGAAAUUUCCCCAAAUCGCAAAUGAAUAGAAACAGAGAACAUAAAUAGCAUUUUCUAUUUAUUUUAGAAAAAGUCACUUCAUUUAAACCCUUUAGAAAUUAAUUUAUGAAGUGCACCAAUCCUACAAAAUAGUAUCACUAUUACUCGUUCCAAAUCACAAUCCUGCUACACAAAAACACUAGUAGUUGAAUACAUAGCUCUCAAAUAAGAAUAAAACAGGGAAUUCCAAGAGAAAAUACAUUAAACUAAAGUCAUAGAAAGAUGGUUCUCAAUCACUUCCAAAAUAUCAUAAACCUUUCAAUGUUAACACUUCAACCUCUACUAUAAAUCCACCACAGAAGAUUAGUCAUCAAAUUUCCAUCUUCAAACCCCUUUAGGCUUUUUAUAUUCUUCAAUGCACCUUAAUUGUCAUAUAUUCCCUGCAAGGCAAACACAAAUCCCUUCAUUUGCUGACCAAUACCUUCCCUUUUUAAGGCAGGUAAUGUCCAUUCAACUAGUUCCUUCACAUACUUUGCAUCAGAAAACAAAACUUCAGAAAUAGGCGACAAGGGUAAAACUUGAACACCAAGCCUUGCUUCUCUCCAUUCAGCCGGAGCAAACGACAAUCCACUGUCUCUCUUGUUAGACCAUAAAACUCCCAUGAUCCUAUUCUCCUUUGUAAAAUCUUUUUCAUAGAGCUUACCGUCCUUUUUAACAUGCCACCACAUUUUCUCUGCACAAAUUUCCAAUGAUGCAAGUGUUGAUCCAAUGGACACAAGUUGAGGAUCACCAUAUGCCAUUCCCAUCAAUGCUGAAGCAUAGUAUGCAUUUACAGCUUCACUACUUGCCAUUUGAUUACUUCCAUCUGCAAACUCGGUUACCCCUCCGGCCCAUGAGUGCAACUUGAAAAGAUCAAAACACCUAAAACGCGCAUAAUUUGAGUUCAAACUCGUGCUCAAAUUCAUAAAAUCUUCCAAUAAUGAAUAUGCUUGAGCCUUAUACUUCCUACCCCAAGCUGGAUCAAUCUUAGCAAGCACAGCAAUUGCAUAAACAAAAUAUCCCAAAGUACCAUGAUGAUUAUUAUAAAUUCCAAAACCAUACUCAGCAUUUGAAUCAGUAGAGCCUUGUUUUGUAAUAAUCCCUCCCCAUUUUUUAUCAUAGAGAAAUCCAUUACCUUUGAAAGUUCCAUCAAGCCAAGGCUCAAUCAUCUCCUUCAAAUACUUCUUAACCUUAACCUUUGGAAUCACAUCAUAGAAAAAAAUCUCUUCAGCUAUCAAAGCCAAUCUUGCAGCUCUUGCAAUCAAUUUUCCAAUAGCAUGACAUGAAGUAGUUUUUAUGGACAACGAAUUCAAACCUUCAACAUCCGUAAAAAGUGAUGAAACAAUUUGAUCAUAGUGUUUUUCUUUCACACCCUUUGUGGAAUACCAAGUAAUAGAAACAUGAUCAGUUUUCAAAAUCCACGAAUCAGCAACAAUGCCAACAAGAUCGCCAUCAAUGCUUUUAUACUUGAAAUCACUCAAAACAGUAAUAUUCUUACAAUCUUUCUCAGAUAAAAGCUGAAGAUGAAGAGGGUGUGCUAACAUCAACAAAUCACCCCAACCCUUCUUCUCCCAUUUAUACUCAACACAAAAUGGUUCUCUGAGUAUAGCAUCACCUGACACAGGAUAACAGAAACAAUACCUGUCAAGAACAGCCUCAUGUUUUGAAUCAGAAUCCGGCAAUAAAGCUAUUCGAAUUGUGCCAGAAAAGGCCUCGGAAGUUAUCUCUGAACGGCCUUGAGUCAACUUUAUUUUUAUUGAAGCAUACAAUAUCCAUGCUUGAUUAUUGUUAAACCGAAUAGUAAACUUUGUAGACGAAUCAUUUGAUGAGAAGUAAAUGAUAUCAUGGACGGUUGAAAUGGAAAGAGGGGCUGGUUUUGUUACAGAAAGAGUCAAAUAAGGACUUCCUCUAACAAGAAAGAAACUCAUGUUGGUUGAAGGAAUGUCUAACGUGACACUGAGAUCACUAUAGGAAGAAAUUACAUGUUUUCCAUUGCAACUUUUUUCUUUUUAUGAGGAAGUUAUAGUAAGAUCAGGUUUGAAUACUUGGUGUAUGGCUUUGGAGCUGGAAGAACGAUUUGGAUAGGAAAUAGAAAGUGAUGAGUCUGAAGAUUUGAUGAGAUAUGGAUGAAUGUAUUCAGGUUGGUCACCAUUGUUGAGAACAAAGUUUUGGAAGAAAGAGUUUGUAGGGAGGGGUGUGGAUAGCAGAUUUGGAGAGAAGAAUUUGGAGGGGUCAGGAAGGACAGUGGAGUUACCUUGUGG
rnacentral:lncRNA from 1 species